UACGAAGGGGGCUAGCGUUGUUCGGAAUUACUGGGCGUAAAGCGCGCGCAGGCGGUCCUUCAAGUCAGAGGUGAAAGCCCAGAGCUCAACUCUGGAAUGGCCUUUGAGACUAGAGGACUUGGGUACGGGAGAGGUGAGUGGAAUUCCGAGUGUAGAGGUGAAAUUCGUAGAUAUUCGGAAGAACACCAGUGGCGAAGGCGGCUCACUGGCCCGUCACCGACGCUCAGGCGCGACAGCGUGGGGAGCAAACAGG
rnacentral:rRNA from 1 species